rnacentral:rRNA from 1 species
AUUGAACGCUGGCGGCAUGCCUUACACAUGCAAGUCGAACGGUAACAGGUCUUCGGAUGCUGACGAGUGGCGAACGGGUGAGUAAUACAUCGGAACGUGCCUAGUAGUGGGGGAUAACUACUCGAAAGAGUGGCUAAUACCGCAUGAGAUCUACGGAUGAAAGCAGGGGAUCGAAAGACCUUGUGCUACUAGAGCGGCCGAUGGCAGAUUAGGUAGUUGGUGGGGUAAAUGCUUACCGAGCCGACGAUCUGUAGCUGGUCUGAGAGGACGAUCAGCCACACUGGGACUGAGACACGGCCCAGACUCCUACGGGAGGCAGCAGUGUGGAAUUUUGGACAAUGGGCGCAAGCCUGAUCCAGCAAUGCCGCGUGCAGGAUGAAGGCCUUCGGGUUGUAAACUGCUUUUGUACGGAACGAAAAGCCCCGGGUUAAUACCCUGGGGUCAUGACGGUACCGUAAGAAUAAGCACCGGCUAACUACGUGCCAGCCGCCGCCGUAA